rnacentral:rRNA from 1 species
AACGAACGCUGGCGGCAUGCUUAACACAUGCAAGUCGAACGCUGUCGCAAGACAGAGUGGCGCACGGGUGAGUAACGCGUGGGAAACUGCCCUUCUGUGCGGGACAACAUCUGGAAACGGAUGCUAAUACCGCAUACGCCCUACGGGGGAAAGGUCCGCCGCAGAAGGAGGUGCCCGCGUCCGAUUAGCUUGUUGGUGAGGUAAGAGCUCACCAAGGCAACGAUCGGUAGCUGGUCUGAGAGGAUGAUCAGCCACACUGGGACUGAGACACGGCCCAGACUCCUGCGGGAGGCAGCAGUGGGGAAUAUUGGACAAUGGGGGCAACCCUGAUCCAGCAAUGCCGCGUGUGUGAUGAAGGCCUUAGGGUUGUAAAGCACUUUCACUGGUGAAGAUGAUGACGGUAGCCAGAGAAGAAGCCCCGGCUAACUUCG